GCAUACUACAAAUCCAGAACCAGAUAACUGAGAACAUGAAAGCGAUGAAGAGACAACACCUGGCAAUGGUGCAAGAACUGGGAGAGGUCUUUCAGGCCACUGCAUGAGAGAACCAGGCCCUGACUGCACAGAAUGAGCAGCUGGUGGAACACCAGACAGCGGAUAGAAUGAGGAGUAAUGAGGAUGCCCUGCAGUGGCUUAGAGAAAAGGUUACUAAGGAAUCUGGUGGUCUUCAUAAACUCUUUUGUGCUUCUCUGAACCGGAGCACAUCCUUGUUACCAUAUAUGAGGAUACAUUUUAAAUGUCAUGCACAAUUUUCAGACCAACGUUGUUCUGGUCAUUCUUUUAGAGCAAAAUGCUGGAACUGUUCACCAGCAGGCUGAGUCUCCUGUGACUCUGGUCAGCACUGCAGGAGCUGCAAAUGGCAAGACACGGAGUAGGGAAAGUCCAAGAAGUGUUGACAGCAUUAUCACAGGAUCAGCAGGAAGUCGUUGAGGGAGGUGAACACUGAAAGGACUUCCAGAUCGACAACAGUGGGUUGGAAUCGGUUCCAAUGGCAGUCUACUGAUCAUAUCUGUGCAUUGUCUACGGUUCUAAUUAUAUAGCAAAAAAUUAUUUCUGAGACACCUUCAGAGGAACAAUAAUUAGAAAAUGGUCAAAUUAUUAAGAACUCCCUGAUACCCUCCCAUUGGUGUUUUAAUUUUUAGGGAAGUUUCAGGUCUUCAUGACUAGUCUGUGCUGUCGGGGUGUCCAUAUGCAGUCCUGCAAUGAAUCAGAUCGCCCACUGGAGGGACCUAAAGUGCGUCUGGAGGAACUGAAUGAAAGUCCGUAGCAGACGGAGAGAGAUCACUGAGCUGCUGGAGGCAGAGAAGAGUCACAUCCCUCCCAUCCCUCAGCCACCCUGCAGCAUCCUGCUUCUCACCGACGUACACAAAGUGCUGUUCAAGUAUGCAGCCUGUAAACCAAAUGCUAACUACCCGUGUAUCGAAUUAAUUUAAAUAUUGUAUUCCCUAUUUAGCUGGAUGGAGAAAAUACUUUCUGCAUCCUGUUUGUCUUAGACAUCACCUUGAUUUCAUGACUUAGUUCUAUUCAUAGCACUUUGUUUUGUUGUAUAGGCUCAUGCUAUCUGCAGUGCAGUGGAUGAGACCAGAGCUCACAGAGCAUGAGAUAAAGUAGACCGUCAGCAGAUGGACAAAGAAGAAAGUAAAGACAGUAAAGACAGAGAGACCACUGAACAAGACCGGUUAGAGAUCAUUAAAACAGUCUGACGAUAUAAACAAAAAAUGACUUCUUAUUGGUUAGAAUAGCCACGGGUAGUGUCAGUGUUAGAUUAAGACAAUUUCCAUAUUACCUUCCUUUAACUGUCUGAAAUAUAACAAUAAUCAAAAUGUUUUUCUUCCACUUCUCAAGUUAGAUGAAUAUGAGUCAUAUGCGUCUUUGCACGAGAAACUGUGUGGGGCUACAAGGUGUCUCAGUUGGCUGCAUUAAAAGUGGAGAAAGUCCUGUAACAAAUGGUAAAUGAACAAUAAAUAUGCUGACUGGAGUAAAUUAGU
ensembl:lncRNA